AAAUCGACCGCCUGGGGAGUACGGCCGCAAGGUUAANACUCAAAUGAAUUGACGGGGGCCCGCACAAGCGGUGGAGCAUGUGGUUUAAUUCGAUGCAACGCGAAGAACCUUACCUACUCUUGACAUCCAGCGAAUCCUUUAGAGAUAGAGGAGUGCCUUCGGGAACGCUGAGACAGGUGCUGCAUGGCUGUCGUCAGCUCGUGUUGUGAAAUGUUGGGUUAAGUCCCGCAACGAGCGCAACCCUUAUCCUUUGUUGCCAGCACGUAAUGGUGGGAACUCAAAGGAGACUGCCGGUGAUAAACCGGAGGAAGGUGGGGAUGACGUCAAGUCAUCAUGGCCCUUACGAGUAGGGCUACACACGUGCUACAAUGGCAGAUACAAAGAGAAGCGACCUCGCGAGAGCAAGCGGAACUCAUAAAGUCUGUCGUAGUCCGGAUUGGAGUCUGCAACUCGACUCCAUGAAGUCGGAAUCGCUAGUAAUCGUAGAUCAGAAUGCUACGGUGAAUACGUUCCCGGGCCUUGUACACACCGCCCGUCACACCAUGGGAGUGGGUUGCAAAANAAGNAGGUAGCUUAACCUUCGGGAGGGCNCU
rnacentral:rRNA from 1 species